rnacentral:misc_RNA from 1 species
AAGUCGUAACAAGGUUUCCGUAGGUGAACCUGCGGAAGGAUCAUUAAUGAAACAAACCGGGGGCGGCGGGGCGCGGCCUCGCACCGGCGGAGACGCCGUUGUGCGGGCUCGUCCUGCCCCCUCAUCCACAACCCACACACCUGUGCACCAAAGGGACGGCGGGUGGAUAACGCACGCCGUCUCGCUUUAACAAGCUCAAAAGUCUAUUUUGAAUGUCAUUUAUUCGGGCUAGCCCCGAUGUAACUUAAACAUAACAACUUUCAACAACGGAUCUCUUGGCUCUC